AGUGAACGCUGGCGGCGUGCUUAACACAUGCAAGUCGAACGAGAAACGGAUUUAGCUUGCUAAAUUGCAGUCUAAGUGGCGCACGGGUGAGUAAUGUAUAGGUAAUAUGCCUCUUACUAAGGGAUAACAAUUGGAAACGAUUGCUAAUACCUUAUAUACCUUUAAUACGAAAGUAUGCAAGGGAAAGAAUUAUUGGUAAGAGAUUAGCCUGUAUGGUAUCAGCUUGUUGGUGAGGUAAUGGCUCACCAAGGCUAUGACGCCUAACUGGUUUGAGAGGGUGAUUAGUCACACUGGAACUGAGACACGGUCCAGACUCCUACGGGAGGCAGCAGUGGGGAAUAUUGCACAAUGGACGAGAGUCUGAUGCAGCAACGCCGCGUGGAGGAUGACACAUUUCGGUGCGUAAACUCCUUUUAUAUAGGAAGAUAAUGACGGUACUAUAUGAAUAAGCACCGGCUAACUCCGUGCCAGCCGCCGCCGUAA
rnacentral:rRNA from 1 species